rnacentral:rRNA from 1 species
AUACGGAGGGUGCAAGCGUUACUGGGAAUCACUGGGCGUAAAGCGCGCGCAGGCGGCCAUUUAAGUUGGAUGAGAAAGCCUACGGCUCAACCGUAGAACUGCAUCCAAAACUAUUUGGCUAGAGUGUGGGAGAGGAAGAUGGAAUUAGUUGUGUAGGGGUAAAAUCCGUAGAGAUAACUAGGAAUACCAAAAGCGAAGGCAAUCUUCUGGAACACUACUGACGCUGAGGCGCGAAAGCGUGGGGAGCAAACGGGAUUAGAAACCCUAGUAGUCC